rnacentral:rRNA from 1 species
UACAGAGGGGGCAAGCGUUAUUCGGAAUUAUUGGGCGUAAAGGGCGCGUAGGCGGCCAUUCAAGUGACGGGUGAAAGCCCUCGGCUUAACCGAGGAACUGCAUGUCAGACUGGAUGGCUUGAGACCGGGAGAGGUGAGUGGAAUUCCCAGUGUAGCGGUGAAAUGCGUAGAUAUUGGGAGGAACACCAGUGGCGAAGGCGGCUCACUGGACCGGAACUGACGCUGAGGCGCGAAAGCGUGGGGAGCAAACAGG